GCAUGUUCUAGUAUAAGCAUUUUUACCGUGAAACUGCGAAUGGCUCCAUUAAAUCCAGUUAUCGUUUAUUUGAUAAUACCUUACUACUUGGAUAACCGUGGUAAUUCUAGAGCUAAUACAUGCUGAAAAUCCCGACUUCGGAAGGGAUGUGUUUAUUAGAUAAAAAACCAAUGCCCUUCGGGGCUCUUUGGUGAUUCAUGAUAACUUUACGGAUCGCAUAGCCUUGCGCUGGCGACGGUUCAUUCAAAUUUCUGCCCUAUCAACUUUCGAUGGUAAGGUAUUGGCUUACCAUGGUUUCAACGGGUAACGGGGAAUUAGGGUUCGAUUCCGGAGAGGGAGCCUGAGAAACGGCUACCACAUCCAAGGAAGGCAGCAGGCGCGCAAAUUACCCAAUCCCGACACGGGGAGGUAGUGACAAUAAAUACUGAUACAGGGCUCUUUUGGGUCUUGUAAUUGGAAUGAGUACAAUUUAAACCUCUUAACGAGGAACAAUUGGAGGGCAAGUCUGGUGCCAGCAGCCGCGGUAAUUCCAGCUCCAAUAGCGUAUAUUAAAGUUGUUG
rnacentral:rRNA from 1 species